GGGGAUUUAGCUCAGCAGCAUAGCACCUGCCUGGCAAGCAUGAGUUCCUGAGUUCAAUUCUCAGUACCCCCU
rfam:Cavia porcellus supercont2_47 genomic scaffold, whole genome shotgun sequence.